rnacentral:rRNA from 1 species
CUGUCGUCAGCUCGUGUCGUGAGAUGUUGGGUUAAGUCCCGCAACGAGCGCAACCCUCGCCCUUAGUUGCCAGCAGUUUAGUUGGGCACUCUAAGGAGACUGCCGGUGACAAACCGGAGGAAGGUGGGGAUGACGUCAAGUCAUCAUGGCCCUUACGGCCUGGGCUACACACGUGCUACAAUGGUCGGUACAAAGGGUUGCCAAGCCGCGAGGUGGAGCUAAUCCCAUAAAACCGAUCGUAGUCCGGAUCGCAGUCUGCAACUCGACUGCGUGAAGUCGGAAUCGCUAGUAAUCGUGAAUCAGAAUGUCACGGUGAAUACGUUCCCGGGCCUU